GUCUGGGUGGUGUAGUUGGUUAUCACACUAGUCUCACACACUAGAGGUCCCCGGUUCAAACCCGGGCUUAGACA